GCGCCGAUGGGGUAGUGGUAACCUGGGUCGUUGCCAUUUUCAGACAUCGACCCGCCGGGGGUUCGAUUCCCCCUCGGCGCA